GGAAUAUUGUGCAAUGAGCGAAAGCUUGACACAGCGACACCGCGUGUGGGAUGACGGUUCUAGGAUUGUAAACCACUUUCAGGAGGGAAGAAAAUGACGGUACCUCCACAAGAAGACCCGGCCGACUAUGUGCCAGCAGCCGCGGUAAUACAUAGGGGUCAAGCGUUGUCCGGAUUUAUUGGGCGUAAAGAGCUCGUAGGCGGUUCAACAAGUCGGUCGUAAAAGUUUAGGGCUCAACCCUAAAAUGUCGAUCGAUACUGUUGUGACUAGGAUACGGUAGAGGUGAAUGGAAUUCCGAGUGUAGCGGUGAAAUGCGUAGAUAUUCGGAGGAACACCAAUUGCAAAGGCAGUUCACUGGACCGUGAUCGACGCUGAGGAGCGAAAGCUAGGGGAGCAAACAGG
rnacentral:rRNA from 1 species